rnacentral:rRNA from 1 species
GUGGAUUAGAUACCCUGGUAGUCCACGCCCUAAACGAUGUCAACUAGGUGUUGGAAGGGUUAAACCUUUUAGUACCGCAGCUAACGCGUGAAGUUGACCGCCUGGGGAGUACGGCCGCAAGGUUAAAACUCAAAGGAAUUGACGGGGACCCGCACAAGCGGUGGAUGAUGUGGAUUAAUUCGAUGCAACGCGAAAAACCUUACCUACCCUUGACAUGCCAGGAACUUUCCAGAGAUGGAUUGGUGCCCGAAAGGGAGCCUGGACACAGGUGCUGCACGGUCGUCGCCAACU